AUCUGCCGGUCAUCGUCGAGUGAUAGUCCGCACCAGUGACAGCGAUGUUGUAGUGCUGGGCGUCUCUUCCUUUGUUGCACUCGGACAGAGGAUUGAUGAACUCUGGAUUGCCUUUGGAAUGAAAGGCCACUUCAGAGAUUCGUCUUGCUGCUAUAUGAUGUAACUAAGGAGAACAUCACAACUGAUGAUGCUGCUCGGCAUUCCCGCUUCCUCCACCAAGGAAGAGACCUCGAGCACAUGCCUCCAAGCAGCGAUUCUCUGCAUCAGCACCUUCUCAGAGUUGCCUAUCAGAGUGGACACGUGUGGGGUAAUACGCUCGUGAAAGCACCAGCUCCAGUAUCUCCAACAGAAUGGCGAUGGCAGCAAGAAUUACCAGACUAUGCGCCAACUCCAGUCUACACAACAACUCCCACUAUUUCGCGGGACUUGUCAGAGCUUGCCAUUUGCUAGUGUAAGACUGGAUGUAAAGCUCCUUGUAAGUGCUGCGUGCAGAGACAGUGGUGUAUGCUUCUCUGCAGAUGUCAAGGUUCGUGCCCCACACUGGCAGGAUGUACCAGGACAAGAGAGGAGAAGAGGAAUCAGCCUAGCCCUAAUCGAAGAACUUGUGUAAUUACAACAUUGUGCGAUGAAUAAUCUAAUUACCUCAAAUUUCUGCAUGUGAAAACCAAUAAAAUUUGUUAUAAUUUGUAUUAUUUUUUGGAUUUCACCUUUAAAUGCAUCUGAAAUGCGGCGGCCAUCUUGGAUUUUGAGAUAUGACAUGUGUCUUUGGAUAAA